AUUGAACGCUGGCGGCAGGCUUAACACAUGCAAGUCGAGCGGAGCGGCGGAAGGGUGGGUAAUGCCUAGGAAUCUGCCUGGUAGUGGGGGAUAACGUCCGGCAACGGGCGCUAAUACAGCAUACUAUCAGAUGAGCCUAGGUCGGAUUAGCUAGUUGGUGGGGUAAAGGCCUACCACGGCGACGAUCCGACACUGGUCUGCGAGGCGUAUCAGUCACACUGGAACGGAGACACGGUCCAGACUCCUACGGAGGGCAGCGGUGGGGAAUAUUGGACAAUGGGCGAAAGCCUGAUCCAGCCAUGCCGCGUGUGUGAAGACGGUCUUCGGAUUGUAAAGCACUUUAAGUUGGGAGGCGUUACCAACAGAAUAAGCACCGGCUAACUUCGUGCCAGCAGCCGCGGUAAUAC
rnacentral:rRNA from 1 species